rnacentral:rRNA from 1 species
AACGAACGCUGGCGGCAGGCUUAACACAUGCAAGUCGAACGCCCCGCAAGGGGAGUGGCGGACGGGUGAGUAACGCGUGGGAACGUGCCUCGAGGUUCGGGAAUAACCGAGGGAAACUUCGGCUAAUACCGGAUGAGCCCGAAAGGGGAAAGAUUCAUCGCCUUGAGAGCGGCCCGCGUUGGAUUAGCUAGUUGGUGGGUAACGGCCUACCAAGGCUUCGAUCCAUAGCUGGUCUGAGAGGACGACCAGCCACACUGGGACUGAGACACGGCCCAGACUCCUACGGGAGGCAGCAGUGGGGAAUCUUGGACAAUGGGGGCAACCCUGAUCCAGCCAUGCCGCGUGGGUGAUGAAGGUCUUCGGAUUGUAAAACCCUUUUGGCGGGACGAUAAUGACGGUACCCGCAGAAGAAGCUCCGGCUAA